rnacentral:rRNA from 1 species
AUUGAACGCUGGCGGCAGGCUUAACACAUGCAAGUCGAGCGGGGUGAUGGUGCUUGCACUAUCACUUAGCGGCGGACGGGUGAGUAAUGCUUAGGAAUCUGCCUAUUAGUGGGGGACAACAUCUCGAAAGGGAUGCUAAUACCGCAUACGUCCUACGGGAGAAAGCAGGGGAUCACUUGUGACCUUGCGCUAAUAGAUGAGCCUAAGUCGGAGUAGCUAGUGGGGGGGGUAAAGGCAUACCAAGGCGACGAUCUGUAGCGGGGCUGAGAGGAUGAUCCGCCACACUGGGACUGAGACACGGCCCAGACUCCUACGGGAGGCAGCAGUGGGGAAUAUUGGACAAUGGGGGAACCCUGAUCCAGCCAUGCCGCGUGUGUGAAGAAGGCCUUAUGGUUGUAAAGCACUUUAAGCGAGGAGGAGGCUCUUUUGGUUAAUACCCAAGAUGAGUGGACGUUACUCGCAAAAUAAGCACCGGCUAACUCUGUGCCAGCAGCCGCCGUAA